rnacentral:rRNA from 1 species
GAUGAACGCUGGCGGCGUGCCUAAUACAUGCAAGUCGAGCGAACGGACGAGAAGCUUGCUUCUCUGAUGUUAGCGGCGGACGGGUGAGUAACACGUGGAUAACCUACCUAUAAGACUGGGAUAACUUCGGGAAACCGGAGCUAAUACCGGAUAAUAUUUUGAACCGCAUGGUUCAAAAGUGAAAGACGGUCUUGCUGUCACUUAUAGAUGGAUCCGCGCUGCAUUAGCUAGUUGGUAAGGUAACGGCUUACCAAGGCAACGAUGCAUAGCCGACCUGAGAGGGUGAUCGGCCACACUGGAACUGAGACACGGUCCAGACUCCUACGGGAGGCAGCAGUAGGGAAUCUUCCGUAUGGGCGAAAGCCUGACGGAGCAACGCCGCGUGAGUGAUGGAGGUCUUCGGAUCGUAAAACUCUGUUAUUAGGGAAGAACAUAUGUGUAAGUAACUGUGCACAUCUUGACGGUACCUAAUCAGAAAGCCACGGCUAACUACGUG